GUGUUUUUAUUGCGCGGGAAGGGAUUUAUUAUCGGGAAAGGAUGCGAGGUGGAGUGUGUUAAUGUGAUUUGGUGUGAGGUCCAAUACAAAGUGUGGAGCACAGCGGAGGAGUGGGAAGAGAAACAAAAAAAAUGCAAUGGGCCGGAGUGAGGAGAACUGAUUUUAUCUGAGUGAUAAAUUCUGCCCUGGCUGCAUCUCGUGGAAGGAAAAAGGGUUGGGAUUGCAUUCCUGCAAGCACUAAUGAGAGGUUUUAACAUCCACACUGACCAAGCAGCAGGGAAAUACCCUGCUGCGUUGAGCAGGCACAAACCUGACCAGCAUGUGUGGGGAUGUUUGGCACCAGUGCUUCAAAGGAGAUUCCAGAGACCCUCGCAUACACAGAGAGGACAGCCUGGCCUCAGGCAUUGGGUCUGCCAUUGGAAACUGCUUGAGAUGUUCUGCUGCCCACAUGCCCCUUAUGACCAGGAAAAUGGUGAGGAAGAACAAAGGAAAUAUUGUCCUUUUUCUUCAGCUGGUUGUUUUGUCUAUUUGCUGUAUGAACUCCCAGGGAUCUGAGCUUUCUGCUCCAUGCUGCUGAGCUGGGAGCAGCAUUGCCAACCAGCAGUUUUGCUCCGAAGGCCUCACAGUAGUUAUGUCUGACUCGGACACGUUGGCUCUUGGAUGCCACAAACCAUCUCCAUUUUUGCUGGAGAUAAUGGGAGAAAACAAGGCAGAUGAGCAGCAAAGGAGGUGAAAGGACUUGGUUCCUCCCCAACCCUGAGAAAUUUCUAUUUAUAUCUCAGGGUUUCCCAACAGCAGCCUCUGCUGUGGUUAUGGGGUGGUUUUCUCUGGCAGGAAUCACAUGGAGAUGUGUGCUCCCUCUGCUCAGCACUGCAGAGGGGUCUGGUCAGAUGGUGGGGAGCUCAGCCCUGGUGAGUAGGGAGAAGAGGGGAUGUUGUCAGGAAGGACACACAAAGGCUUCUCAACAACUUCUAAGCAAACUCCUAUGGAAAUCCCUCUCUUUGGCCAAAGGUGACACAUAGACACCAGUUCCCAUCAAUGCAGUUGGCAAGACCACAUUGGGAUGGACCAAUGGAUGACCAAGGGAUGGACGAGCUCAACCACCAAGAGAUGGACAAGCAUGCUACACCCAGCUCACUAAAAUGCCCAAGGUUGCUUUUGUACCUGAUCAGGAUGGACACUCGGUGCUCCAGUGCAACUUAUAACACCACCACCUCCAAAUGGACGUAGCCUGAGGAGGCAUCUCCACCUCCUGCAUGGCCAUUCCCUCUCAGUGUUCCCUGCAGCGCUGUGGUUUGGCUCAGCCACCAAGCAGGUGUGCUUCUCACUGCCCUCCACAGACCCACAUUUCCAUGUCCUUUUAUUUCCCUUCCUGUAAUAAUCCUCAUCUGUCUGCCCCUGAAUCUGUGAAAUUUAAUAAAUCAGUG
rnacentral:lncRNA from 1 species